CUUCUUGUCAUUUUGACAGGUCAAUGGAAUAAGAAUAAUUUUAUCUUGAUCGUGUCUGGUUGAACGUGAGUCAGGGAGAUAAUCAGAAUUGUUUUUAAUCUCAUACCGUACACCUUCAGCAGGAGACGAUACCAGAUGCGAAUUGUAAAUCCACACACAGAUAUAAUCUUUCCAAUUAACUGCAUACGAUUUAUUUCACCACUCUUGCUCUGGCAAAGUUGCGUACUUCAUUCGUCCAGUUGCCGGUAGAAAAAAUGAAAUGCCAAAUAGUUCUUUGCUAUUUCAUCUUGGUUUUAAUCUCUACGAUUUAUACAGUCAACAGCUCUUCAAUAACACAAGAUUUCAACGAAGGGGAAAGUUGGCUAUCAAAACGUGGCGGCAGAGUAUGCCGAGAUCUUCUUCCCAGAAGAUGUAAGAAGAAUCGAUUUACGUGUCUUCGCAAAAGUAGUGCAUACGCUCGUUUGUUUCGAAUGAAAUGCCGUAAAACUUGCGGAUUAUGUUCUUAAGAAACUUCCCAAGACUGCAAGAUUUUGAGGGAAGAAAGGGCGACCUGAAUGCUACAUGUUUCUAGCAUAUAACCUCAUUGAAGAAUUUUUGUGUAAAAAUUCUCACCUACUAUACUCACAGUUUCCAAAUAAAUGUGUCAGGUACCGUCACGGAUUACACCACAUGAAAUUAAUUAAAAUGCAUAUUAAACCAAA